GACGAACGCUGGCGGCGUGCCUAACACAUGCAAGUCGAACGGGGUAGAGGCCUUCGGGCUUCUGCUUAGUGGCGAACGGGUGAGUAACGCGUGAGAAACCUGCCUUUCAGUGGGGGACGACAGUUGGAAACGACUGCUAAUACCGCAUAAUGUAUUCGGGGGGCAUCCCCUGAAUACCAAAGCUUUAUGUGCCGAAAGAUGGUCUCGCGUCUGAUUAGCUAGAUGGCGGGGUAACGGCCCACCAUGGCGACGAUCAGUAGCCGGUCUGAGAGGAUGAACGGCCACAUUGGGACUGAGAUACGGCCCAGACUCCUACGGGAGGCAGCAGUGGGGAAUAUUGGGCAAUGGGGGAAACCCUGACCCAGCAACGCCGCGUGAAGGAAGAAGGCCUUCGGGUUGUAAACUUCUUUUAGCAGGGACGAAGAACGUGACGGUACCUGCAGAAAAAGCAACGGCUAACUACGUGCCAGCAGCCGCCGUAAGAC
rnacentral:rRNA from 1 species